rnacentral:rRNA from 1 species
AGCAAUGCCGCCGCUGCUGCUGUUUUACCAUGGGCAGAUCCCUUAGGCGGUCCGAUGCUACCCGCGGGCCGUGUGUUGGAGGUGGUGGGUGGGUGAGCCAUUUUCCCCGCCCAUCUUACUCUCCGGCCCCUCGCGGUGUAGAGUAGGGCAGGCCGACCAAUACUCCUGUGAGAGGGGGCGCAGGCCCGGGACUUGUCAUUACGGCACACGCCUCCUCCUCUCUUCCGGGCGAUAAAGGCAUGAUCCAGUUGACUGGGUGUAGUCCCAAGUUUCGGAGAGAUGCUUGGGGAGGGCCGUGUAGUCGACAAGUACCUUGAGCAUACAUGUUAGUACCCGAAAGAUGGUGAACUAUGCCUGGCCAGGAUGAAGCCAGAGGAAACUCUGGUGGAGGUCCGAAGCGGCUCUGACGUGCAAAUCGAUCGUCUGAGUUGGGUAUAGGGGCGAAAGACCAAUCGAACCAUCUAGUAGCUGGUUCCCCCCGAAGUUUCCCUUAGGAUAGCUGGUGCUCAGGGAGUGAUUUACAUCCGGUAAAGAGAAUGAUUGGAGGAAUUGGGGGUGUAAUGCCCUCAAACUACUCUCAAACUUUAAAUGGGUGAGAUGUCAUGCUUGCUUGACCGGUGAAGCAUCGACGAUAAAUCA